rnacentral:rRNA from 1 species
UACGAAGGGGGCUAGCGUUGUUCGGAUUUACUGGGCGUAAAGCGCACGUAGGCGGAUCGUUAAGUCGGGGGUGAAAUCCUGGAGCUCAACUCCAGAACUGCCUUCGAUACUGGCGAUCUUGAGUCCGGAAGAGGUGAGUGGAACUCCUAGUGUAGAGGUGAAAUUCGUAGAUAUUGGGAAGAGCACCGGUGGCGAAGGCGGCUCACUGGCUCAUUACUGACGCUCAGGCGCGAUAGCGUGGGGAUCAAACAGG